AUUAAGCAGGUUGAGGUAUGCGAGUUCUGUAUUUCUGUAAGUGUGUCCCAUGUGACAUGAAAUGAAAGAAGCAAGGAGGAAAUGUUUGUCCACCUACUCCACACAUAAGGCGUCAGAAGAGGUGCACAGAGCAGAGGGCUCCCAUGAACAAGGAGAUGGAGCAUUUGAACCACACAACUCACCACAUUUCACCCCCAAACAACAAACCUGAAUUUCCUGGCUACUAUGCACUCAUCCCCUUCGUUCUGCUCACACUGACUGGAUGCAUAGUGGCAGCGGUUUGUUAUAUCAGAAGGAGAGUGAGACUCGAUGAGCUGCGCCACCAGCUGAUUCCUAUGUACACCUACGACCCUGCAGAGGAACAGGACGACUGGGGAAACGCUGGCAGGGACAAUGAGGAGGAGCUAACUGAACCUUUGUACAAAGAUGCACAGCUCUCCUUUACCACUGACUACGGAACAUGAACAGAAGAUCAAGAAGAAAGUGUCCAACUAGGAAAAUAAAUCUUCUUCUGCAUGUUGCAUAGCAGAGACAUCCUACAGAGAUAGCCUGGAUGCUUCUUAAGGUUUUAAAACAAUGUGUGGAUGAAUCAGUUCUGUUCUUUCUUCAUGACAUGUUCUGACACCAGAUGGCACUGUAAUCCUGUCUUUUGCCUGAGCUGAGAUUUUUGUCAAAGACUGUUGAAAGUGCCUUGAAGGACAAGGCAAGAUGUCUCGGGAUUUUUGGGAAAUAAACUGAAAGCUAAACAACAGCUUCGGAGCUACUGGUGUUGUGUGUGUAUUUCUCUAAUUAUGUUUGAAAUAGCUUUAAAGACGCACCUGUUUCUGCUUGGUAAUCAGAGGGUUUGCCGGUUGGUAGAGGUCCUCAGGUUGACACAGCUUCAACUGUUCCUGGCUUUAACAUACAGGAAGAUGGGAUCACAAAGAAACAGAAGGUGAACAACGCACAAACAACUGAAAACCUAAAAAGCCUUAUCUGAAGAAUCAAUUUGGAUUAUUUAAUUGUGUAUGUGUGUGGAUUUACAUUAGUCUGGACGUCCAUCUGUUGGGUCCAUGCUGGUUCCUGAUCUCCAUCCUGCUGCUCCUGGCUCUGGUCCUCCCAGCUCUUGCACUGGAAAGCCUGCUGUGUUACUACUGUCCCCUGCAGCCCAAAGGCAAACCCUGCACAAACACCACCAGCCAGUGUCUACCUGACCAGCGCUGCUCCAGCUCCGUAGGCCGCUACGGUUCCAUCCACGUCCUGUCUGCUCAGGGCUGCCUGGACAAGGAACUCUGUGGCUCCCAUGAAAUCGUCUCAUAUCAGGGAGUCAAAUACAAUGUCAGUCACACUUGCUGCUGCAGAGACAAAUGUAACAACGAGCCCAAAUUUGACACCAGCCUGAAGAAGCUACUGGGGAUGAUUGCAGCAAAAACUGAAAAUGACAGCAUGGCUAAUGGUCGUAGGGAGGAGUCUCGGGAUUCGUGUGCAAAUUACACUUCAUCAAAAAUAACUGCCACCAAAUCAUAGGAAUACUUGCAGAACUGAGGACCGAGGAGAGGCCUGUUUGCUAUAGGUGUGCUGGAAGGCGUGGCCUCUUUGGGAAGAUCCGUGGUCAGUGAGGAGAUUAGAGUUCAUCAGGAGAAGAUCUGAAAAGUUUUGACUGGAUUUAGAAACUUU